rnacentral:rRNA from 1 species
UACGUAGGGUGCAAGCGUUUGUCCGGAAUUAUUGGGCGUAAAGAGCUCGUAGGCGGUCUGUCGCGCGGCUGUGAAAUCCCGGAGGCUCAACCUCGGGUCUGCAGUCGAUACGGGCAAACUAGAGUAUUGCAGGGGAGACUGGUGAAUUCCUGGUGUAGCGGUGAAAUGCGCAGAUAUCAGGAGGAACACCGGUGGCGAAGGCGGGGUCUCUGGGCAAUAACUGACGUGAGGAGCGAAAGCGUGGGGAGCGAACAGG